AUGUCGUAACGAGGUUUCCGUAGGUGAACCUGCGGAAGGAUCAUUAACACGUAUCCAAACGUUAAACCCCCGCGUAGUUCGCAAUCUCUGAUAAAUCAUAGCCCGGAAAGUUGUAGUGAUUCAGAGACCUCUGGCUACGUGCGAACAUUGGAACAGUUACAAUCGAGCGGUAGUUCUAUAGGCAAUGUUUCCCCAAGCAGUCAGUGUCGUAAAGUGUCCCCCUAAUAACCCCACAGUUUAAUGUGAAGCUCAAUGUAAUACAUUGGGUAACAAAACUGAACAACUGUUAACAAUGGAUAUCUUGGUUCUC
rnacentral:misc_RNA from 1 species